UGGCUCAGAUGGUAAAGCGUCUGCCUACAAUGCAGGAGACCAGGGUUCGAUCCCUG
rnacentral:tRNA from 1 species